GCUAGGUGUGGUGGCAUGCACCUGUAGUCCCAGCUAUUUGGGAGGCUGAGGUGGGAGGAUCAUUUGAGCCCAGGAGGUCAGGGCUGCAGUGAACCACAAUUGCAUCACUGCACUCCAGCCUGGGCAACAGAGUGAGACCCUAUCUAAA
ensembl:misc_RNA Metazoa_SRP Metazoan signal recognition particle RNA